rnacentral:lncRNA from 1 species
AAUAAGAAAAUAAUAAAUUAAUACAUAAAUAAAUAAGAAAAAAAAAAUUAUUAGGUCAUAAAUUCCCACUAUAUAAGCCAAAUGUUAACCUAGAGCAGCUUUUUGGAAAACACAUUCUGUUCCUUUCUUCUUUUCUGACGCACAAGAACCCUAACAGAGCAAUCAGAGGAGGAGCUCUAGAGAGCACCAGAGACGCCACCAUUGCUAACAGAGAACAUUUAAGCGACUACCUCAAGGUAAGGGAUGAGUUACUCACGCUUGGGGAUUAGAAUGAACAUGUGUAGGGAUCCCUAGAGGAUCAAUUUUUGGGUUAUUUUGGGGUGUUUAUGAAUUUAAUUAUGUUUUCAUGUUUAAUCGCGGAUUGAGUGUGCUUGAUGAACCAAUUGGUGUUCUGUUGCGAGUUUGUUGUAGAAUUGAUGUGUUCUGUUGCGAGUUUGUUGUAGGAUUAAUGUGUUUCUCUGUUAGGUGUGUACCUUAGGAAUUAGAAUUCUUUAUAAUUAACAUAAAAAUUGUGUGGUGAUGAUUUUGUUUAUACCAGAUAUGUUGGCCUUUCAAUCUUGUUCCUGUGCUAAUGUAUAUUGUGUCCAGAUAAUUAUUUUUACACCGCAGUGUAUACGUGUACAUAUAUAUUGAUACUAUUUUUUUUACAAACUGUAUAUUUUAUUUCACGUGGGUGAUUUCUUGUCAUGAAAUUCAUAGGUGUAGGGAUUGUUGGAUAAUUGAAUUGGCUAAAAUCAUUUAAAGAAAUUAACUAAAGUUGUAUUCACAUUGUAAUUAGGCAUUUUCUUGAUGUUGACAACUUAGUUGAAAUAUAUUUAAAAUAUAGGUAUACAUGUUGUUCAUAGAAAUCAAUAUGAGUAUAUAUUUUAUUGUUAUAUAUAAUUUGUAUUUACUUAAUAAUAUAUUUGAUAUUAUUGUGAUUACUUUAUAUUAAUAUAUAUUUAAUACUUUUUAUAUGUUAUAUGUGAUAUGUACGUUUACGUUUACGUUAAUAUAUAUAUUUUGUUAUAUAUUUUGAAUAUAAUAUACUUAUAUAUAUAUUUUACGUGUAUUUUAUAGUUACUUGUUUAUAAGCCUUGAAGUUAAAUAUUGUAUGUUAUUAUUAUUAUGAUACAUUGUUAUCUAAUUGUUGAGUAUAUUUUGUAAUUAGUUAGAGUGUGAAAUGUUAAACUGUAGACAUGAAACAUGGUUGUGAAUGAGUGUGUGAUUGAUAUUUGUAGAGAUAUUACUUGUCAUGUAAGUUAUGAGUUAUACAGUAACCCGACCAGUGUGUACCUUGAGAGAACUUUUAUGCGCAGUGUUAAAGAAAAUUGUAGGAUUCCUAGUUAGGAUCCUGAAGGGUUAAACUAUAGCGCAAUUUGUUAAAUAUGUUUGAAAUAUAAGAGUAAGGUCGUGGGUAUUAUAUAACUCAUAAACAGUGUCUGCGUGCAAAUAAAAAAAUAAUAUUUUAGGGGUUGGACCUGAAUCAGGAAGGUGAGGCCCAAACGGAUUCUUCGGAGUCUAGGCCUUGGGGGUAAAGAUACUCGGUUUGAGUGCUCCUUUAAGCCCAUGUUGAUCCCAUGUGGUUGGGGCAUUCUCGCAAAACAGAGUAACCCUGACUGGUCACCUUAUGAUGUUACUUAGUGAGAGUGACCGAGUAUACCCAUUGUGUGGUGUGCUUUGUCAUGUACUCCUAAGCGCCCCAGUGUUGUUUUUCACUGACAUGGUACCACAUUGCAUAUAGGCUUGAGUCUUAGUGUAAUUGUUGCAUAACGCUUGUGUUUGAAUUUCAUUGAGUUAACAAUUGUGGUUGAUGUUAUUUUAUGGAGUGUGUAAACUUGAAUGGGUGUGAAUAAUGUGUGCGAUUUUGUGCAGUAAUGCUAUUUAUAUAAAUUCAGCUUUAAGUAUUAUAUGUUUCACAUGCUCUAAUGUUUUAUUAUAUACGAAUGUGAUAACUCACUCCCGGUGUGUGUUUGUGUUUGGGCUGAUUGCCACUUUGUUUCAAGUGAGCCUUCAUAUGAUGAGUCACAUGCUAGAGAUGGAGAGACUUAGUCUGUGAUAGGGAUUAUGAUUUACUGAAUGAUAUAAUUAAGUUAUACUUUUCUUCUUUAGUUUCUUUUUAUUAUUUAUUUAGAGUGAACGGCCUUGUUUUGAGCCGAGAUAAUCUUAUCUCUUAUUAAAAAAAAUAUAUAUUCUAUUAUGUUUUCACUAAGUGGAUGUGAACCUUUACCCUUUUGAAUUGAUUUAAAUUAAAUGUGUUUAAAAAGAAAAAUUAUUAAUAAAUUUUGCAUUUUUUUCUUCUUUUAUUAUUAUGUGUUUAUAAUCUUUUAAAUAAAUUUUGUAUGAUUUAUUUUAUUAGUUAGUUACAAUUGUAAGGGUAGAGGGUGUCACAAGAGGGAUGCACCAGCUGCAGACCCUGAGGACUACAUACAGCCGCCCAGCCCCCAGGUUCCAGUGGCAUUUGACCCCCCUCCAUAUGUG